GACGAACGCUGGCGGCGUGCUUAACACAUGCAAGUCGAACGGUGAAGCGCCUUCCUUUUUGGUGGGUGUGGAUGAGUGGCGAACGGGUGAGUAACACGUGAGUAACCUGCCCCCUUCUUCUGGAUAACCGCAUGAAAGUGUGGCUAAUACGGGAUAUUCUGGGUCUGUCGCAUGAUGGGUCUGGGAAAGAUAUUGUUUCGGUGGGGGAUGGGCUCGCGGCCUAUCAGCUUGUUGGUGGGGUGAUGGCCUACCAAGGCGGUGACGGGUAGCCGGCCUGAGAGGGUGGACGGUCACACUGGGACUGAGACACGGCCCAGACUCCUACGGGAGGCAGCAGUGGGGAAUAUUGCACAAUGGGCGCAAGCCUGAUGCAGCGACGCCGCGUGAGGGAUGGAGGCCUUCGGGUUGUGAACCUCCUUCGCCAGUGAAGCAGGCCUGCCUCGUUUGUGGGUGGGUCGACGGUAGCUGGAGAAGAAGCGCCGGCUAACUACGUG
rnacentral:rRNA from 1 species